rnacentral:tRNA from 2 species
GGUCGCGUCGUACAACGGAUAGUAUAAGAGUUUCCGAAGCUCUUGAUCCAGGUUCGAUUCCUGGCGCGACCA